rnacentral:rRNA from 1 species
AGAGUUUGAUCCUGGCUCAGGACGAACGCUGGCGGCACGCUUAACACAUGCAAGUCGAACGAGAGAAGAGAAGCUUGCUUUUCUGAUCUAGUGGCGGACGGGUGAGUAACACGUGAGCAAUCUGCCUUUCAGAGGGGGAUACCGAUUGGAAACGAUCGUUAAUACCGCAUAACAUAAUUGAACCGCAUGAUUUGAUUAUCAAAGAUUUAUCGCUGAAAGAUGAGCUCGCGUCUGAUUAGCUAGUUGGUAAGGUAACGGCUUACCAAGGCGACGAUCAGUAGCCGGACUGAGAGGUUGAUCGGCCACAUUGGGACUGAGACACGGCCCAGACUCCUACGGGAGGCAGCAGUGGGGAAUAUUGCACAAUGGAGGAAACUCUGAUGCAGCGACGCCGCGUGAGUGAAGAAGUAAUUCGUUAUGUAAAGCUCUAUCAGCAGGGAAGAUAGUGACGGUACCUGACUAAGAAGCUCCGGCUAAAUACGUGCCAGCAGCCGCGGUAAUACGUAUGGAGCAAGCGUUAUCCGGAUUUACUGGGUGUAAAGGGAGUGUAGGUGGCCAGGCAAGUCAGAAGUGAAAGCCCGGGGCUCAACCCCGGGACUGCUUUUGAAACUGCAGGGCUAGAGUGCAGGAGGGGCAAGUGGAAUUCCUAGUGUAGCGGUGAAAUGCGUAGAUAUUAGGAGGAACACCAGUGGCGAAGGCGGCUUACUGGACGGUAACUGACGCUGAGGCUCGAAAGCGUGGGGAGCAAACAGGAUUAGAUACCCUGGUAGUCCACGCCGUAAACG